CUUUGAGUCCUCCUUAACAUGUAAUAAAUUCCUAAGCAGGUUCAGAGAAAGUGAGAAACCAAAUCCUCACCAGCAUCAUGAUAACAAAGAGUUAACAUAUACAAGAUAGAAGGUUCAGAGAAACCAAAUCCUCACCAACACCAAGAUAAAAGGUAUGGGACACAAUAAAAUAAUUAUCCGUAUAUAACAGUGUAGCAAAAUUUUAGCGACAAAAAAAAAAGCAUUUUACUAAAUUAGUUGAAGCAUAUCUAAAACAUACAAAUCUUUCUUCUUGAACAUGCCAGAAUGGAGCAAAUUGAAGGAAAAUUUCACUCCACAAGUAACUUGUUAAGCUCAGUUGCUUUGUUCACACUUUUGGCAAAAAUAACAACUUGAUUGAAGUCCAGUGCAAACACAUGGAUCCUUUCCCUUGUUCAGCAAAUACAUCCUUCGUCGCUAAGGUUGCUCCCUGGUAGUCCAACGCGAAGCGGUAGGUAGAGAGGAAGUAUUGCGGCGACUCAAGGGAGCUAGGUCCGAUCUAUUGUGAGAGUUGGAAGCGUGGAGCUGGGUGUUGCGCGAGUGAGCUCUAUGGUGAAGCUUUGCUGCUGGAUUCAAUGAAGGACACUGGUGUCUGCGGAUGGAGGUCGAAUUAUUCAGGUGGUUUGCAGGUGGUUCACAAGUUGAAAAUCGUGAGAUAGGCAGAAAGCAAAACUAGGGAUUUUGAUUAUAAUAUUUCUUAUUCUUUGAUUAGGAUGAGUUAGAGAACGCCUCCGCGCCUUUUUUAAUUUUACAACAGCGACGGUAAAUUUGAGAAUUUCAAUUUCAGUAGAACGAAGAAG
rnacentral:lncRNA from 1 species